UUACGGCCAUAGCACGUAUAAACACCGGUUCUCGUCCGUUCUCCGAGGUUAUUCAACGUUGAGCCUGAUCAGUACUGAAAUCGGUUACAGCUUGGUAAUACUAGGCGUUGUAAGC